AGAUUAAGUUAUUAAGGGCGCACGGUGAAUGCCUUGGCACUAGAAGCCGAUGAAGGACGUUACUAACGACGAUAUGCUUUGGGGAGCUGUAAGUAAGCUGUGA
rnacentral:rRNA from 1 species